GAGGCCUGAGUCCCUAAGGAGUUAGGGCAACCAGAGGGGGGAAAGUUGUCUGGAGCACAAACUGUAACCACCAAGGUAGCACGUGGUCCUCUACGGCUUUCAUUGUAGACGACGGGGAGGCCUCCGAUGGGCUGAACCUGGGGGCUGUGGUGAACGACGUAGACACAGGAGUGGUGUUCCUCAUCUAUACCCUCUGUGCUCACAAGGUCAACUGCCAGGUGGCCUCUACCAUGCUGGUUUGGAGUAAGGAUGACGGCGUUUCCUGGAGCCCACCGCGGAAUCUCUCCGUGGAUAUUGGCACAGAGAUGUUUGCCCCUGGACCCGGCUCUGGCAUUCAG
rnacentral:lncRNA from 1 species